UACGUAGGGUGCAAGCGUUGUCCGGAAUUAUUGGGCGUAAAGAGCUCGUAGGCGGUUUGUCGCGUCUGCUGUGAAAACUCGGGGCUUAACCCCGGGCCUGCAGUGGGUACGGGCAGACUAGAGUGCGGUAGGGGAGACUGGAAUUCCUGGUGUAGCGGUGAAAUGCGCAGAUAUCGGGAGGAACACCGGUGGCGAAGGCGGCACUCUGGGCCGGUACUGACGCUGAGGAGCGAAAGCGUGGGGAGCGAACAGG
rnacentral:rRNA from 1 species